rnacentral:rRNA from 1 species
UACGAAGGGGGCUAGCGUUGCUCGGAAUCACUGGGCGUAAAGGGCGCGUAGGCGGCUUUCUAAGUCAGGGGUGAAAUCCGGCAGCUCAACUGUCGCAGUGCCUUUGAUACUGGAGAGCUCGAGGGAGGUAGGGGUCUGUGGAACUUCCGGUGGAGCGGUGAAAUGCGUUGAUAUCGGAAGGAACGCCGGUGGCGAAAGCGACGGACUGGAUCUCUUCUGACGCUGAGGCGCGAAAGCCAGGGGAGCAAACGGG